AGUUUGCUCUUUAUUUUUUCCAAAAAUCAUUUCUAGGUACAUAAGUAUCUAUUUAAUCAGAGAAACACCAAAAAAAUUCCAAGAUUCAACCACUAGCUAGGAACGGUCAUUCCCGCUGUUUCGACCGCAUUUUGAAACAGGCUUAAAAAAUUAAAAAAAAUCAAAAAAUUGGGAAACCUUCGCAUUGUGUCAUUAUAUUUGGCCAAGUUCCUCGGAAAAAUAACAAACUUGUAAUACGGCAAUUAUUUUUAAAAAGUGUUCUCAGAAACAAGCUAUCACGUGUGGAGAUCAAUGGCUUUCAAGCCAAAUGAUCAAUCUUAUGGCCACAUUCAUGGCAUAGUUUGUUCAAAUGAUCUCAUAUUGUGCACAAGUGUGCAUAUUGGAAUGGCAAACAAUGUUGCCUAAGGAAGUUUUCAUUUUCUUUGGACGAAAAAACCAUUUUCCAUUUUUCGAGUGCCCAAAAGGAGGUUUUUUUGUGAAGGACCUCCCAAAUAAUUAUUGCAAAAUUGGACCAAAUCAUUUUUCGAAAAUACUAGGCCAUAUUUAAUGCACAAUUGAUCAAAUGGUUGGGUGUAAAAAUAUUUGAUCCACCUCUCAUGAAAAAGACAAAUUUCCGCCGAUUCAGUUGGAAGCGGGUCAAAUUUGAACUGCAACUGCCUCAUAGUUUGCUAUUUAUUUUUUCCAAAAAUCAUUUCUAGGUACAUAAGUAUCUAUUUAAUCAGAGAAACACCAAAAAAAUUCCAAGAUUCAACCACUAGCUAGGAACGGUCAUUCCCGCCGUUUUGACCGCAUUUUGAAACGGGCAUAAAAAAUUCAAAACAAAUCAAAAAAUUGGGAAACCUUCACAUUGUGUCAUCAUAUGUGGCCAAGUUCCUAGGAAAGAUAACAAACUUGUAAUACGGCAAUUAUUUUUAAAAAGUGUUCUCAGAAACGAGCUAUCACGUGUGGAGAUCAAUGGCUUUAAGCCAAAUGAUCAAUCUUAUGGCCACAUUCAUAGCAUAGUUUGUUCAAAUGAUCUCAUAUUGUGCACAAGGGUGCAUAUUGGAAUGGCAAACAAUGUUGCCUAAGGAAGUUUUCAUUUUCGUUGGACGAAAAAACCAUUUUCCAUUUUUCGAGUGCCCAAAAGGAGGUUUUUUUUGUGAAGGACCUCCCAAAUAAUUGUUGCAAAAUUGGACCAAAUCAAUUUUAUAAAAUACUAGGACAUAUUUAAUGCACAAUUGAUCAAAUGGUUGGGUGUAAAAAAUUUUGAUCCACCUCUCAUGAAAAAGACAAAUUUCCGCCGAUUCAGUUGGAAGCGGGUCAAAUUUGAACUGCAGCUGCCUCAUAGUUUGCUAUUUAUUUUUUUACAAAAAUAAUUUCUAGGUACAUAAGUAUCUUUUUAAUCAGAGAAACACCAACAAAAUUCCAAGAUUCAACCACUAGCUAGGAACGGUCAUUCCCGCCGUUUUGACCGCAUUUUGACCGCAUUUUGAAACGGGCAUAAAAAAUUCAAAAAAAUCAAAAAAUUGGGAAACCUUCGCAUUGUGUCAUCAUAUGUGGCCAAGUUCCUAGGAAAAAUAACAAACUUGUAAUACGGCAAU
rnacentral:lncRNA from 1 species